CGGACUUUGCGGGCGGGCGGGCACUGGUGAGAAGAGGAAGUGGGAGAGGCCUGGGAAGGAAACUUGGAAACCGAAAACUCGGCGGCCGAGGCUCCGUGCCCCGCGCGCAGCGCUGCUCCUGCCCCGGCCAAGGACGCACGGGCCAGCCGGCGGAACCAGAGUUUAAUUAGGCAUAAAUAAAAAGCCACGUGAAGCCUGGAGAUACUGGACAUAGCAGAUUUGUCAAGCCAUUUUUCCCACCACCAGUGCCUGAGCACGACCUCAUUUGUCUUGGUCAAUGAAGCUCAAGGAAGCAUUGCACUUUGGCUUCCGCUUUAAGUUUUGUAUGUUGAUAUGUAUCCCAUGUCUUCUAACAAUAAAGUGCUAUUUCACUGACAUUAAUCACUGUCAAAGGCUUUCUGGUAAAUUCUUUAGGCACUCGCCUUGCGGGAAAAGGCAUCG
rnacentral:lncRNA from 1 species